AUUGAACGCUGGCGGCAUGCCUAACACAUGCAAGUCGAACGGUAACGCGGGGGCAACCCUGGCGACGAGUGGCGGACGGGUGAGUAAUACAUCGGAACGUGCCCAGUAGUGGGGGAUAGCCCGGCGAAAGCCGGAUUAAUACCGCAUACGACCUACGGGUGAAAGCGGGGGAUCGCAAGACCUCGCGCUAUUGGAGCGGCCGAUGUCAGAUUAGCUAGUUGGUGGGGUAAAAGCCUACCAAGGCGACGAUCUGUAGCUGGUCUGAGAGGACGACCAGCCACACUGGGACUGAGACACGGCCCAGACUCCUACGGGAGGCAGCAGUGGGGAAUUUUGGGACAAUGGGGGGCAACCCUGAUCCAGCCAUGCCGCGUGCGGGAAGAAGGCC
rnacentral:rRNA from 1 species